CUUAUUAGGAUUUUAGUAUACGAUUAUAAAUAAGCCGAACCGAACCCGCCACCAUUAUUUUUCUCUUUGCCCGCCAUUUCAUUUCAUUUAUUUUCUCUAUCUCUGUCUCUGUUUUCUUUCUAUUUUAAUUUUGUUUUCUCUCUGAUUGUUCGCGUUUCUCUGGUUCUGUGCUCAUAUUUAUGGAUUCUUCUAUAUAUCUGUGUUUGUUUGCUCUGUUUUUGUAUUUUGAUUUUGUUUUCUCUCUGAGUUCUUUAGUUCUCUGUUUCUCUCCGUGUUUGUGUUCGUUUAUACCCGUGUUAGUGCUUCUAUGUUCUUUAUAUGUGUGUUUAUAUUUGUCUAUAUCUCUCUCGGUGUAUUUUGUGUUUCAGUGUUUGUGAUUUUGUGAGUGUCUUUCUUUAGGUCAGUAAUAUUUGUGAUUUUGUGCAAAAUCAGUGUUUGUGAUUUUGAGUGCGAUUGUGUUCGUGUUAGUAAUUUUUGUUUUUGUGUUUCUCUUGUGAGUGGAUUUGUCUGGCUAGUCGUGAUUUUGUUUUUUUCUACAUGUGUUUGUGAAUUUUUAGUUUCUCUGAGAAUUUUUUGUGUGCUUUGCGGCUUGAUUUGAUUUGGGUUCUAGGUUUUGUGUAUGUGGUUUUGUGUCCUUUCCUUUGUGAUUUUGUGUAAUUUUGGGUGUGAACGAUUUUGUAUUUUUGUGUCUUAGUGUUUGUGGAUUUGUGUAUUUUUUGCCUUAGUGUUUGUCUGUCUUUUAGUUUGUAGGUGUCUUCUUUGUGAGUGUAUUUGUGUGAGUAAUUUUUGCUUUGUUUUUCUCUUUUAAAUGGGUUUGUGUGCCUAGUUGUGUUUUUUAUUUUUUAGCUACAUGUUUGUGAAUUUUCAGUUAUUCUAAGAAUCUUUUUAUGAGCUUUGAGUUUUUUGGGUUUGUAGUUUGAUUUGAUUGGGUUCUAGGUAGGUAUUGCCCUUGAUUGUUGGUACAAUUUUCAUGUAAGUUUUGAGCAUUUUUUGUGAGAUUGGUGAAUGAUUAGUCUUAGAUUUCAUAUCUAAACAGCUGAAUAGUUUUUGAUUUUUUAUUUGAAUAUCUUUAUACUUCCUCAGUUGUGUGUGUACAUUUGCGCCCUCGAUUGCCCGAAUUUCUUGAUGUUACAGCCAAGCAACUAGUUAGUAAACCUGUUUUCAUGGUUUUCUUUUUAUUUAGUUGGUUGUAGAUUUACCUAAUAUACGUAUAUCACAUAGCACACCUAAGCUAAAGGAAACUGUCUGUUGCAAACAGUUCUUGUUGGGCUACUGGAGAAUUAGUAGUCAAGGUUCGUCAAGAGAUUUUCCAAUUGUUGUGACUCUUAUAUCAAGUUUAGUAUAAUUCCUUCAAUAUCCAGAGGAUUCGUGAUGAUAUUAAAAAGGAGGAUGCUUUCCAAGGCCUAUGCGCAAUGGUCCGAGCAAAUCCUUUGAGAGCUUUAAGUUCACUUUUAUUCAUGUGCGAAGCUAUUCCAAGUUGGCAUGAAAUCAGGAGUAAAGAGCUACACAGUGAACUUUGUCAAGUGUUGCAUGGCUAUAAACAGAUUAUUGCAUCCUGUUCCAAUUGGAUUUAAAAAAACAAAAAAACAAAGACUUGAAAAAGAAUCUGAAGCAAGAGGCAACACAGUUGGGACAUUACAAGACUCAAUUUCAGCAAAUGAAUAAUAGGAAAGAGGAAGUUUGGCGAGCACAGCGGUGGGGGAGAAUCCAUAAUCUUCUUCUUGAGGGAGGCCUUACAUAUAAUGCAAUUAGCGAGUCUCUUGCAAAGUCCACUGUUGCUUUUACGGAUGGUGUUUUGAGCUAUUGGAAUUUCUUGAGGCGAGAGACAUUCAUGUUCUCAUAUUUUCAGCGGGUAUCAUAGAGGAGGUCCUCAGGCUGAAACUUCACAGGUCUUUUAAAAAUAUCAAAGUUGUCUCAAAUAGAGUGGUAUUUGACAAUGACGCCCUCAUUUCUUUUAAAGGUCCUCCUAAUAUCGAGUUGUAAAUAUCUUAUCAGAUUGGCCUAUAAUGCUAUGAAAUUCCACAAGCUGCUCGAAGCAUUAUGUGUUCACAAAGAUUGAAAAAUCAGGAACCUACCAGCUAUUUGGAGAUAUGUGGGAGAUUGAAAAAUGGGUUUGCUUGUAUCUACUAUUUAGAGAUUUAGUUAUUUUUUUGAUUUUUGGUUAUUGGGUGUUGUGUAUCUACUUAUGGUUAUAUGACCUUCCAGGAUUUUGUUAGAUUGUGGAGCAAUAUGAAAAAAGUAGGUUUCUUCUUAAAUUUGGUUUUACAAACAGUAUUUUCCAAAUCAUAUCUUAGUUGAUCAUGUGAAGAAUGCCAUAUAAUUGGUACUUUGGAUAUUGAAUCGGAUGAAAUCCGAGAUCAUCUUGCACCGUCUUCAAUAAAGCAAAGAUCAUGAUAUAUCCUCCAAUAAAGAAAUCAUCAAAAUUAGGUGAUAUUUACCUGGAUUAAGGGAGAUUGUGGAUAAGGUACAUAAGGGACUUCUUGCUCUUAAAUCAAUUAUUGAGAAGUUGAAGGUAGAACAACAACGCCAACUACUGGAAAUGGAAUGAGAGGACUCAUCAAGGAGGCUGUAGCAACAGAAGAAAAGAGGCGGAGCAGAAGAGGCAUGCUUUUGAACUUGAGCAGAGGAAGAAAAACCAAAUGAUCCUUCAAGAAAUAGAGCAGAGAGAGAAAUAAAUAUCACAGGCAUUGCUAGAUGAGAGAAGAGGUAAGCGAGAAGAGCCAAAACAAAAGAGGGAGCUUCACUGAUGAAAGCUGCCUUUUAACAACGAUUAGUGGAAGAGAUGGUCCUUCAUGAAUGUUAGCAACAGCUAGAGACUGAACUGAGGAGACAACACCAUGAUGGGAUUUCAUAAACCUGAGCAGCGGCUACCUCCUGUAAUGUUUAAUGACAUUGCAAGACUCAAUUUUAGCAAAUGAAUAAUAGGAACGAGGAAGUUUGGCGAGUACAGCGGUAAAGGGAGGUGGGGGAAAACCCAUAAUCUUCUUCUUGAGGGAGGCCUUACAUAUGAUGCAAUUAGCGAGUCUCUUGCAAAGUCCACUAUUGCUUUUACGGAUGGUGUGUUUGAGCUAUUGAAAAUUUCUUGAGGUGAGAGACAUUCCUGUUCUCAUAUUUUCAGUAGAUAUCAUAGAGGAGGUCCUCAGGCAGAAACUUCGCAGGUCUUUUAAAAAUGUCAAAGUUAUCUCAAAUAGAAUGGUAUUUGACAAUGACAGGCACCUCAUUUCUUUUAAAGAUCCUCCUAAUCAGAUUGUUAUAAAAAUUAAUGCUAUCAAAAUUCCACAAGCUGCUCAGAUGAUUAUGUUUUCACAAAGAUUGAAAAAUCAGGAAUCUACCAGCUAUUUGGAGAUAUGUGGGAGAUUGAUAUAUGGGUUUGCUUGUAUCUACUACUUUUAGAUCUAGUUUUUUUUUUAUCUUUGGUUAUUGGGUGUUGUGUCUCUACUUGUUUUUGUUUAAUGGUUAUAUGACCUUCCAGGAUUCCGUUAUAUGGUGGAGCAAUAUGAAAAAAUAUGUUUCUUUUUAAAUCUGGUUUUAGAAACAGUAAUUUCCAAAUCAUAUGUCAGUUGAUCAUAGUACAUAGCACACCUAAGCUCAAGAAAACUGUCUGUUGCAAACAGUGCUUGUUGGGCUACUGGAGUAUUAGCAUUCAGGGUUCGUCAAGAAAUUUUCCAAUUAUUACGACUCUUAUAACAAGUUUAGUAUAAUUCCUUCAACAUCCAGAGAAAAUAGUGCAAUCACACUUGAGAGGCUUGCAUGGUUCUGUCCUGAGAUUGCAUCACCUCAUAUGGAGAAUUUCAUACAAUCAUGGUGUAUUGCUUUGUCUAUGAUUCGUGAUGAUAUUGAAACGGAGGAUUCUUUCCAAGGCCUAUGCACAAUGGCACGAUCAAAUUCUUCGAGAGCUUUAAAUUCACUUUUAUUCAAGUGUGAAGCUAUUCCAAGUUGGCAUGAAAUAAGGAGCAAAGAGCUACACAAUGGACUUUGUUAGGUCUUGUAUGGCUAUAAACAGUUUAUCUCGUGUAAUGCUAAUGCUCUGAUUACUGCAUCCUGUUCCAAUUGGAUUUAAAAAAAAAACAGACUUGAAAAAGAAUCUGAAGUAAGAGACAUUACAAGACUCAUUUUCAGCAAAUGAAUAAUAGGAAAGAGGAAGUUUGGCGAGCACAACGAUGAAGUUAGCGAGUCUCUUGCAAAGUCCACUAUUGCUUUUACGGAUGGUGUUUUUGAGCUAUUGGAAUUUCUUGAGGAAUCUACCAGCUAUUUGGAGAUAUGUGGGAGAUUGAAAUAUGGUUUGCUUGUAUCUACUACUUUGAGAUCUUGUUUUUUUUUUUAUCUUUGGUUAUUGGAUGUUGUGUCUCUACUUGUUUUUGUUUAAUGGUUAUGACCUUCCAGGAUUCCGUUAUAUGGUGGAGCAAUAUGAAAAAAUAGGUUUCUUUUUAAAUCUGGUUUUGGAAAUAGUAAUUUCCAAAUCAUAUGUCAGUUGAUC